rnacentral:tRNA from 1 species
GCCUUCGUGGUGUAAUGGUUAGCACACUCAGCGAAUAUUCAAAUGGUCCAGGUUCGAGUUCCGGCGAGGGCU